AUUGAACGCUGGCGGAAUGCUUUACACAUGCAAGUCGAGCGGCAGCACGGGGGCAACCCUGGUGGCGAGCGGCGAACGGGUGAGUAAUACAUCGGAACAUGCCCAGUCGUGGGGGAUAACACUUCGAAAGAAGUGCUAAUACCGCAUACGUCCUGAGGGAGAAAGCGGGGGAUCUUCGGACCUCGCGCGAUUGGAGUGGCCGAUGUCAGAUUAGCUAGUUGGUGGGGUAAAGGCCUACCAAGGCAACGAUCUGUAGCUGGUCUGAGAGGAUGAUCAGCCACACUGGGACUGAGACACGGCCCAGACUCCUACGGGAGGCAGCAGGGGGGAAUUUUGGACAAUGGAGGCAACCCUGAUCCAGCCAUUCCGCGUGAGUGAAGAAGGCCUUCGGGUUGUAAAGCUCUUUCGGCAGGAACGAAACGGCGAGCUCUAACAUAGCUUGCUAAUGACGGUACCUGAAGAAGAAGCACCGGCUAACUACGUGCCAGCAGCCGCAGUAACAC
rnacentral:rRNA from 1 species